GGGCGCGUAGCUCAGUCGGUUAGAGCAGGGGACUCAUAAUCCCUUGGCCGCAGGUUCGAGACCUGCCGCGCCCA
rnacentral:tRNA from 2 species